rnacentral:ncRNA from 1 species
UAUCUUUGGGGAAUGGUGAAAUUCCAUACCGGCGGUAUAGUCCGCGAACGCCACAUGGUGCCGAGCAGGUGUGAUUCCUGCACCGACAGUAUAGUCUGGAUGAGAAAAGAU